rnacentral:ribozyme from 1 species
CGCAGAGGACUGCCCUUCGGGGCAGUAAUGCGGCGAUGCGGUUCCAAGCCCGC